AUUGAACGCUGGCGGAAUGCUUUACACAUGCAAGUCGAACGGUAGAGGGGGGCAACCCCUUGAGAGUGGCGAACGGGUGAGUAAUAUAUCGGAACGUGCCCAGUCGUGGGGAUAACGUAGCGAAAGUUACGCUAAUACCGCAUACGAUCUAAGGAUGAAAGCGGGGGAUCGCAAGACCUCGCGCGAUUGGAGCGGCCGAUAUCAGAUUAGGUAGUUGGUGAGGUAAAGGCUCACCAAGCCAACGAUCUGUAGCUGGUCUGAGAGGACGACCAGCCACACUGGGACUGAGACACGGUCCAGACUCCUACGGGAGGCAGCAGUGGGGAAUUUUGGACAAUGGACGCAAGUCUGAUCCAGCCAUUCCGCGUGCAGGAUGAAGGCCCUCGGGUUGUAAACUGCUUUUGUACGGAACGAAAAGGUUCUAUUAAUACUAGGAGCUCAUGACGGUACCGUAAGAAUAAGACACCGGCUAAACUACGUAGCCAGCAGCCGCGGUAAACGUA
rnacentral:rRNA from 1 species